UCAUGGCUCAGUUGGUAAACAAUCUGCCUGCAAUGCAGGAGAUCCAGGUUCGAUUCCUGGGUCGGGAA
rnacentral:tRNA from 1 species